GAAAGCCGGGAGGGCGAGCGAGAGAGCAAGCAGGCAGCAGGCUGCCGGCGGGCGGGCGGACGGCACAGAGGGAGGGAGCGAGCGAGCAGUGAGUAAGCCAGCAAGGGCGGUCGGGUCCCGAGGUCAGCCGAGAUUUCUCAGGUCCCUCCGGCCCCCUCCCUGGAGUCCACAGCGCCUCCGGUGUCCAGAGGAUCGGACACGGCCCGGCCCGGCCAUGGCCUCGUUGCUGAAGGUGGAUCAGGAAGUGAAGCUCAAGCUCUGAGCUUCCGCUCGGCUCAGCCCAGCCCCCAACUCCCGGGGUCGGCUUCGCGGGAGAGGAAAAUAUAGGAUGGCUUUCUGUACCGCGUCUGAUGAUGGAGAGUCCCGGGGACACCUCCGCGGACACGUGUUGGACUCAGGGCUUUAGGCCCGUGACAGCUGGUUGAUUCUUUCAGGGAGCGGAUCACAAGUGAGGCAGAAGACUUGGUGGCAAAUUUUUUCCCAAAGAAGUUAUUAGAACUUGAUAGUUUUCUGAAGGAACCAAUCUUAAACAUCCAUGACCUAACUCAG
rnacentral:lncRNA from 10 species